rnacentral:lncRNA from 1 species
GUUCGGUAAACAGAAAGUUGUCAAGUGAUCAAUCUGAAAACGCAUCACACGGUAUAGCUGACUUAGAUAAACCCUGAAACCAAAUUUCAGAAAUCCUUGUAUUGUAGUUCCUGAGAAAAUGCGACGAAAAAUAUUCAUGGGACGGACGGACUGACGGAAGGACAGACAGAGGUAAAACAGUAUACCCCCCUUUUUUAAAGCGGGGGUAUAAUAACAAGCUAUUCAUUUGUACACAUAUACAUAAAAUUUACUUGACUUCUUUGAAAUCUUCCCAAGAAUAGAUUUUAAACAAGGAUUGUGUUUAUAUAACAUGGAUGCCCCACUCACACUAUCAUACGAACUGUGAAAUUGGGUGUCAAAACUCUAAUUUGUCAUUAAAAGUAGAAAUAUCAUAC